AGUAAUGUUGCGCUGAUUUGCUCUAUGCGGGAAGAAUAACCACGGUAACCUGUGGCUAAGAGUGUAGAAUAAGGUGCAAUCCUAUUAGUUUGUUGGUAGUGUAAAGGACUACCAAGGCAGUGAUGGGUAACGGGAAAUCAGGGUUUGAUUCCGGAGAGGGAGCCUGAGAGAUGGCUCCCACGUCCAAGGAUGGCAGCAGGCGCGAAAAUUGUCCACUCUUUUGAGAGGAGACAGUUAUGAAACGUGAGUAGAAGGGUCGAGUGUAAAAACCUUGACGUGAAGCAAUUGGAGGGCAAGUUUUGGUGCCAGCAGCCGCGGUAAUUCCAACUCCAAGAGUGUCUAUGGUGGAUGCUGCAGUUAAAGGGUCCGUAGUCGUAGAUGCAAUUAAAAGGUGGUGUUAAAAGCCAUUGAGUUUGUUGAGAGUAGCGGAACGGAUAGGGAGCAUGGUAUAGGUGGGCAAAGAAUGAAAUCUCAAGACCCCACCUGGACCAACGGAGGCGAAAGCGAUGCUCUUAGACGUAUCUGGGGAUCAAGGACGAAGGCUAGAGUAUCGAAAGUGAUUAGACACCGCUGUAGUUCUAGCAGUAAACUAUGCCGACAAUGCUGGGUGUUGCGAGAGCGAUGCUUGGUGUGGGAGAAAUCUUAGUUUUCGGGCUCUGGGGAUAGUACGCUCGCAAGGGUGAAACUUAAAGCGAAAUUGACGGAAGGACACUACCAGGAGUGGAUUGUGCUGCUUAAUUUAACUCAACGCGGGAAAACUUACCAGGGUCAAGUCUAUCGUAGAUUGGAGACAUGAGGUAGACAAGAGUGGUGCAUGGCCGUUGGAAAUUGAUGGGGCGACUUUUAGCUUAAGUGCUGGAACCAGUGAGAUCUUCUAGACAGGUGUUAUUUAGGCACAGGAGGGAGAAGGCAAUAACAGGUCCGUGAUGCCCUUAGAUAUCCUGGGCAGCAAGCGCAAUACAAUAUCUCUUGAGAAGACAAAGCAAUUUGAGAUGAGUAGGAUUAGCUUU
rnacentral:rRNA from 1 species